rnacentral:rRNA from 1 species
AACGAGCGCUGGCGGCAGGCCUAACACAUGCAAGUCGAGCGAGGACUUCGGUCCUAGCGGCGGACGGGUGAGUAACGCGUGGGAACGUGCCCUUUGCUUCGGAAUAGCCCUGGGAAACUGGGAGUAAUACCGGAUGAGCCCUUUGGGGGAAAGAUUUAUCGGCGAAGGAUCGGCCCGCGUUGGAUUAGGUAGUUGGUGGGGUAAUGGCCUACCAAGCCGACGAUCCAUAGCUGGUUUGAGAGGAUGAUCAGCCACACUGGGACUGAGACACGGCCCAGAAUCCUACGGGAGGCAGCAGUGGGGAAUCUUAGACAAUGGGGGAAACCCUGAUCUAGCCAUGCCGCGUGAGCGAUGAAGGCCUUAGGGUUGUAAAGCUCUUUCAGCUGGGAAGAUAAUGACGGUACCAGCAGAAGAAGCCCCGGCUAACUCCGUG